rnacentral:rRNA from 1 species
UAUGGUAUAACUUAGUGGCAGACGGGUGAGUAAUGUAUAGGAAUCUACCUAGUAGUACGGAAUAAUUGUUGGAAACGGCAACUAAUACCGUAUACGCCCUACGGGGGAAAAAUUUAUUGCUAUUAGAUGAGCCUAUAUUAGAUUAGCUAGUUGGUGGAGUAAUAGCYUACCAAGGCAAUGAUCUAUAGCUGAUCUGAGAGGAUGAUCAGCCACACUGGAACUGAGAUACGGUCCAGACUCCUACGGGAGGCAGCAGUGGGGAAUAUUGGACAAUGGGCGAAAGCCUGAUCCAGCYAUGUCGCAUGAGUGAAGAAGGCCUUUGGGUUGUAAAGCUCUUUUAGUGAGGAAGAUAAUGACGGUACUCACAGAAGAAGUCCUGGCUAACUCCGUGCCAGCAGCCGCGGUAAUACGGAGAGGGCUAGCGUUAUUCGGAAUUAUUGGGCGUAAAGGGCGCGUAGGCUGAUUAAUAAGUUAAAAGUGAAAUCCCGAGGCUYAACYUUGGAAUUGCUUUUAAAACURYUAAYCUAGAGAUUGAAAGAGGAUAGAGGAAUUCCUGAUGUAGAGGURAAAUUCGUAAAUAUUAGGAGGAACACCAGUGGCGAAGGCGUCUAUCUGGUUCAAAUCUGACGCUGAGGCGCGAAGGCGUGGGGAGCAAACAGGAUUAGAUACCCUGGUAGUCCACGCUGUAAACGAUGAAUGUUAAAUAUGGGAAGUUUACUUUCUGUAUUACAGCUAACGCGUUAAGCAUUCCGCCUGGGGACUACGGUCGCAAGAUUAAAACUCAAAGGAAUUGACGGGGACCCGCACAAGCGGUGGAGCAUGUGGUUUAAUUCGAUGCAACGCGAAAAACCUUAC